CGGUUUACUCUCAGUUUGCACUUUGCAGCACAAGCAAAAUAUCACAAAACAUGUAUGCACUUGUAAAUUUUUUUGAAGGCACAUCAGAAAUUGUUCCAGUGGAAAAUAUUGAAGAGUUUGAUGGACGUGCGACAAUGUGAAAUAAUAUAUUGUUAAUUUGCAGCGCACUGGGAAGAGAUAUCCCGCCUAUAUCAUGGCUCUGGAUGCUAUGUUACUCUACCAGAGUGUAUCACAGAAAAAGAAUUGGGCCGAGUCUGGAAAAAAACAUCACGCAGACAUAAUGACCAGUGUAUCACCUCAAAACUCAAAGUGACAGAGAGUGAGGAGGACCUCACCUUAGUGUCAAAACAGGAAAUGCAAUUGCAGCUAACCACUGCAAACUUUCAGAUAAGGGAGUUUAAAAGAGAAAAUGCAGCACUCAGAAAAUCUCUCUCUCUGUGAUUGAAGGUAAGGUUUCCUGUUUGUGGAUGCUCCUACUGAAUAUUCUCACCCUGCAUGCAAGUCCAGGUUUAGUUGUGUAUAUACCCAUAUAUACUGUAAUUAGGUUCAGUUGUAGGUAUAUCUGUGAGUAGGUGCAUUUGUAUAGUGUCUACCAAUCUAUUAGUUGAAUAAAUAUUGCAUGCAAAUGUAAUGAUAGCACAUUAUGUUCUAUAUUUUCAGAGUUGCCAGGUUUGCUCCAGGAGGUGAAAAACCUAAAGAGGUAGCGAAUGAGACACACAACUUCAAAGGGUGUCUGUGUUUGGUUUAAGCAUGAUGACCAGAAUAUGAGGAGUAGAGAUUGAGAGUAGGAAAGAUGAUUAGAAGUUGGAAGGAGGUGGUUGAGUGAAUCUGUAUUCACUUUCUCUGUCUGUCAUAUUGUGUGUUCCCAAACAUCAUGGCUAAUGGAUCCACACCAAUCUCCAAAACUCACAAUGGUAGGAGAGGAAACACAGUUUCUAACGGUGUGUGUGUUUGGUUUAAGCAUGAUGACCAGAAUAUGAGGAGUAGAGAUUGAGAGUAAGAUAUAUGAUUAGAACUUGGAAGGAGGUGGUUGAAUGAAUCUGUAUUCACUUUCUCUAACUGUCUGUCAAUACUGUGUGUUCCCAGACAUGGCUGGUGGUUUGAGACCCAUCCCCAGAUCUCACAAUGACAUCAUGGCUGGUGGAUCCACACCCUUCCUCCAACCCCCAAAAGCAGCACUCCAAGACAUAGCCGUCACAACCCUCCCAGACAGCAUGGUAGGGUGACUUCAAACCUUGAGCUGGAAAGCGGGGAUACAAACUAGUCACAAUUUGAAUACAAAAGCAGGUGUAUUAACAUUGUAACAAUACAGCAAGCAGAAAAAUACUGUGUGCAGUUUUGCUUAAUUUAACGUAAAUGUUUAAUGCAUAUUGUAGUACAAUGAUAAUUUGUCUUAAGUGUUUUAACUUAUAGAGCGCCACAUAGGAUUAUGCAAAACAUAUUCACAAAACUAUUUCUCGUUAACUACUAAAACUAGCUAACGAAGUACAUCAAGCAAACAACUUGAGUCAUGGCAGAA